rnacentral:sRNA from 1 species
UUUUUUUUCUCCCUUUGUGCUUCCAUUGAUGUUGAACUCUGAUCUUACUGCUUCUGCCUCUCAAGCUUUGGGGUAACAGUUGUGCACCAGAACACCUAGGUUGCUUUCUUUCAAAGCUGAACUUGCCCUUGAAUGACUUAUUCAACUCAUUGUGGAACUGCCUCAGUUUCCAUAGUAGCUGGGACCAUUACCCUAAAGCUUUGUUUUGCUUUGCUCAAGGUUUAGCUGCUUUGGGUCAAUUCAAUGAUAUUUUAGUGGAGGUGGCACAUCUUAGGACAUUCCUCCUCAGUUAGCUGAGAGAACCAGCCUGAGAAGGUUGGCCUUCCCAGGGUAUAGAAACUUUCCAGCUGUUUCCACUUGUUCCCCUCUCCUAUUGCAACUGCAGAAAAGUCCUUGGGCCCAAACAGUGGAACCAGGGUUAAAGCUGACAAGCUAGUGACACAAGCACCCCAGACAGAUAGGUUGCCACCCAGACAGCCUUUAUUCAGGACUUGCAGCCCUCGAUAGCCCCAGUGUUGUUACCACCAACAGAGAGAACCAUGGUGGGUUCUUUUCUGACUCUGUGUCUGAAUGGAUUUGUGGAACACUGCAUGUUUAUGUACAGUGUGCAGAAGAUGGAUGGACAUGGAUGAGCCAACCUGGGCCUGGAGUGUGGAGACAAGACUUGGAUGAGGACACCUCAUGGAAUUGAGCCCCGAAAUUUAAGUGUCUAGGCUCGGGUGGAGAGCUACUGUCAGGACCAGAGAACUUAUCCUCCUCCACCUGCGAGAUCUCCACAGUGAAUUCACCCUGCAGAUGGGAGGCCAGUACCACCCUGGAACACGGGAAGCAGUUAUAGGAAGAGAGACAGGCCAUCCUUUCAGCCGCUGACUCUCCCCGAAUAUGCCCACCUGAUGUCGGCUGGAUAGGUUCACAGGAAAGUUGGCAGGGUCCCCAGGAAGCAGCAGAGCUUGUAAAAGCUGCACAUGGUUGGUUCCGAUGGGGCAGAACCACAUACAUAGUCACAAAUACACAUCAUCUGAGGUUUAACUGCAGCACCUCUUUUAACUAAACACACAUUUAGUUGUGGGACUUCUUGGUGUUUGUGAAUAGUGAGCAGGUAGGGCAGCCAUGUGGUUCCCCCAACCUUAACUGCCAAGCGCCCGGUGGAAACCUCAGGUGAGCCUUGUGCCCCACAUCCCUGACAGGGUAAGGCUGGUCUUGGCUUGCUUCCUGGGGACCACCUGCCAUCUCCAUGCAAGUUGCAGUUGCUCCCCUAAAUGUGCUUGGUGGCGGACAAUCAGAAGCAAUGUGGCACACUCUCGGGGGUGUUGAGUUUGGCACAGGAGUGGAAUGCUCUAGGGGCCACAAGGAUGAGCCUCUUCAUACAGCGCUCCCACACAUGGCCCACCCUGAUCUGCUGAGCUUAGCAGGAACACAGAGCCCAGCCCCUCUGCAUGUCUGCAGAGACAUGCCUAGAGAGAGGCCAAAGGAUGGGGCUUCUGUCAUAGACUCAGUCUUGCGUAUGCCUUCCCUUUGAACUCGCAGAAGCUGUAAUUACUCCUAUGAAGGCAGUUACUGGAAAAUUGUUAUCCUUUAGGGACAGGCACACCCCCUACCUGCUUGGGGGGCAGAGUUGUGAAGUUGUAACAUCGGACUUUAAAGAAUUCCUGACAUCCAGCCACCACACUGUGUGAAGCGAUUUGGGAAGAUGAGGAGAACUCCAGCUGCAGCUGUGACUGUGGGGUGCUCUGCUUCCUGCCUGCUCUGACUCUGGGGUUCUCAAGAUCCUCCCCCAAACACCUUAGGAAU